rnacentral:lncRNA from 10 species
CAGUACUGAGGAGAACAAUAUCUUCUGAGACUCCUGCAAUGAUGAGGUCUAUGCAGCAAUCUGACCCUGCACUGCAGUAAUGGCGGGGAGGCACACAUGCUGGAUGUCAGACCUUAAGGAAAAGAAGGACCAAGCCUGGAUGUUUCCACUGUUCAAUCUCCAGCACUCAGUCCAGUUUUAGAGGAGAACAGACCCUCAACAUAUACUUGCUGGUUGAGAAAAGAGAGGCCUUCUCAGUACCACAGGAAGAGUCUAGGGAGGUGAGUACAAAAUGGCGGCCACAGAUUCUUCACAAGGGGGAAGAGAUUCCUUGGCCUGCUGACCUUUGCCCCCUCUCCAGCCACCCCUGAAGAUUCCAUUCCAAGUCCUGGCACCAUCAGAUAGUGAACUUUUUGAUGGAGGCUUCCCACUUGCAGCAGAGAAGGCCCUCCACUCCACCCACAGAAGGCCUGCUUCUCCCAGCUCCCCAGGCCUCACUCCUUGCGUGGUGCCUCCCGUCCAUUUUCCAGUCUGGGGCCGUGUCUGCUCUUGGAGUCAGGAGGGGAAUGUCUGCGCCUUCUGCAGAGACACAGCGAGGGAACAUGACGUCUCCCUCUGGCCCCAACCCCGAGCGUCAUUGGUGUUGGCCUGAGAUCAAAGCCGCUGUUCCAUUUUUAACCUCGGUAGGGCCCCACCUCACCCUGAGCAUGUGUUCCUGACAUUUCAUUGUGAGCCAGGGGAAUAAACAAAACCCACCCCCUGAGUCUAGCGAAGGACGCCUUCAGGGGAGCUCUGAACUCGGCGAGGCAGAUAAGUGUUUUUCCCACCGAGGGCCCCCCUUGUGCACUGCGGUUUUUCCUGAGCUUACAUGACACCACCGUAAGGGAGAUGGAUGGCUUUAUUUUUGUGCAGAACAAAUGUACAGAUGGUGACCCCCGACCAAAAAAAAAAAAGAAAAAAACUUAGUGUGCAGAGGCAGGGAGGAGGAGGCAGGGAGGAGGAGGCAGGGGGAGUCCAUGUUGGCCUCUCCUCUCCCUAUCUUUUCACUUCUCCUGGGUCUCCCGAAAAUGUCACCAAAGUCUCCAUCUGUGGUUAUUGGGGAUAUUGACAGGAGCCCAUUUUAUUUUCAAAUUAUCUGUUCUUUGAGGUAAAAAUAAAGACAUGCUUUUAGAAUUUUCAAGCAAUUAAAAAAAGAUAUAAGGAAGAAAGAUAUGUCUGGUACAAAUUAGAACUCAAUAAAUACUUGUGGAAGGAAGGAAAGAAAAAAAUCCCUCCAAACUCCACCACUAUCAAUAUUUUGCUGAGCAUCCUUCUAUAUAUUUAUGUGUAUUCCAACUAUGUAACAAACAGGAUCAUACUAUAUUCAUGUAUAAUAUAUUCGUAUUUUCUAUAUAUGCGUAAUAAAUGCAGUACAAUUGCUACUAUAG